UAGAAUGAACCGGCGAGUUACGAUUUGAUGCAAGGUUAAGCAGUAAAUGUGGAGCCGUAGCGAAAGCGAGUCUGAAUAGGGCGUUUAGUAUUUGGUCGUAGACCCGAAACCAGGUGAUCUACCCUUGGUCAGGUUGAAGUUCAGGUAACACUGAAUGGAGGACCGAACCGACUUACGUUGAAAAGUGAGCGGAUGAACUGAGGGUAGCGGAGAAAUUCCAAUCGAACCUGGAGAUAGCUGGUUCUCUCCGAAAUAGCUUUAGGGCUAGCCUCAAGUGAUGAUUAUUGGAGGUAGAGCACUGUUUGGACGAGGGGCCCCUCUCGGGUUACCGAAUUCAGACAAACUCCGAAUGCCAAUUAAUUUAACUUGGGAGUCAGAACAUGGGUGAUAAGGUCCGUGUUCGAAAGGGAAACAGCCCAGACCACCAGCUAAGGUCCCAAAAUAUAUGUUAAGUGGAAAAGGAUGUGGCGUUGCCCAGACAACUAGGAUGUUGGCUUAGAAGCAGCCAUCAUUUAAAGAGUGCGUAAUAGCUCACUAGUCGAGUGACACUGCGCCGAAAAUGUACCGGGGCUAAACAUAUUACCGAAGCUGUGGAUUGUCCUUUGGACAAUGGUAGGAGAGCGUUCUAAGGGCGUUGAAGCAUGAUCGUAAGGACAUGUGGAGCGCUUAGAAGUGAGAAUGCCGGUGUGAGUAGCGAAAGACGGGUGAGAAUCCCGUCCACCGAUUGACUAAGGUUUCCAGAGGAAGGCUCGUCCGCUCUGGGUUAGUCGGGUCCUAAGCUGAGGCCGACAGGCGUAGGCGAUGGAUAACAGGUUGAUAUUCCUGUACCACCUAUAAUCGUUUUAAUCGAUGGGGGGACGCAGUAGGAUAGGCGAAGCGUGCGAUUGGAUUGCACGUCUAAGCAGUAAGGCUGAGUAUUAGGCAAAUCCGGUACUCGUUAAGGCUGAGCUGUGAUGGGGAGAAGACAUUGUGUCUUCGAGUCGUUGAUUUCACACUGCCGAGAAAAGCCUCUAGAUAGAAAAUAGGUGCCCGUACCGCAAACCGACACAGGUAGUCAAGAUGAGAAUUCUAAGGUGAGCGAGCGAACUCUCGUUAAGGAACUCGGCAAAAUGACCCCGUAACUUCGGGAGAAGGGGUGCUCUUUAGGGUUAACGCCCAGAAGAGCCGCAGUGAAUAGGCCCAAGCGACUGUUUAUCAAAAACACAGGUCUCUGCUAAACCGUAAGGUGAUGUAUAGGGGCUGACGCCUGCCCGGUGCUGGAAGGUUAAGAGGAGUGGUUAGCUUCUGCGAAGCUACGAAUCGAAGCCCCAGUAAACGGCGGCCGUAACUAUAACGGUCCUAAGGUAGCGAAAUUCCUUGUCGGGUAAGUUCCGACCCGCACGAAAGGCGUAACGAUUUGGGCACUGUCUCAACGAGAGACUCGGUGAAAUCAUAGUACCUGUGAAGAUGCAGGUUACCCGCGACAGGACGGAAAGACCCCGUGGAGCUUUACUGUAGCCUGAUAUUGAAAUUCGGCACAGCUUGUACAGGAUAGGUAGGAGCCUUUGAAACGUGAGCGCUAGCUUACGUGGAGGCGCUGGUGGGAUACUACCCUAGCUGUGUUGGCUUUCUAACCCGCACCACUUAUCGUGGUGGGAGACAGUGUCAGGCGGGCAGUUUGACUGGGGCGGUCGCCUCCUAAAAGGUAACGGAGGCGCUCAAAGGUUCCCUCAGAAUGGUUGGAAAUCAUUCAUAGAGUGUAAAGGCAUAAGGGAGCUUGACUGCGAGACCUACAAGUCGAGCAGGGUCGAAAGACGGACUUAGUGAUCCGGUGGUUCCGCAUGGAAGGGCCAUCGCUCAACGGAUAAAAGCUACCCCGGGGAUAACAGGCUUAUCUCCCCCAAGAGUUCACAUCGACGGGGAGGUUUGGCACCUCGAUGUCGGCUCAUCGCAUCCUGGGGCUGUAGUCGGUCCCAAGGGUUGGGCUGUUCGCCCAUUAAAGCGGUACGCGAGCUGGGUUCAGAACGUCGUGAGACAGUUCGGUCCCUAUCCGUCGUGGGCGUAGGAAAUUUGAGAGGAGCUGUCCUUAGUACGAGAGGACCGGGAUGGACAUACCUCUGGUGUACCAGUUGUCGUGCCAACGGCAUAGCUGGGUAGCUAUGUGUGGACGGGAUAAGUGCUGAAAGCAUCUAAGCAUGAAGCCCCCCUCAAGAUGAGAUUUCCCAACUUCGGUUAUAAGAUCCCUCAAAGAUGAUGAGGUUAAUAGGUUCGAGGUGGAAGCAUGGUGACAUGUGGAGCUGACGAAUACUAAUCGAUCGAAGACUUAAUCAA
rnacentral:rRNA from 1 species